rnacentral:tRNA from 3 species
UGGAGUAUAAUCAGUAAUUGGUAGCUGGGGGGACUGUAAAUCCCUUCUCUCUGAGACUGGGGGUUCGAGUCCCUCUACUCCAA